rnacentral:rRNA from 2 species
GAGUAACACGUGGGCAAUCUGCCCUUCACUCUGGGACAAGCCCUGGAAACGGGGUCUAAUACCGGAUACCACUCCUCAAGGCAUCUUGGGGGGUUGAAAGCUCCGGCGGUGAAGGAUGAGCCCGCGGCCUAUCAGCUUGUUGGUGAGGUAAUGGCUCACCAAGGCGACGACGGGUAGCCGGCCUGAGAGGGCGACCGGCCACACUGGGACUGAGACACGGCCCAGACUCCUACGGGAGGCAGCAGUGGGGAAUAUUGCACAAUGGGCGAAAGCCUGAUGCAGCGACGCCGCGUGAGGGAUGACGGCCUUCGGGUUGUAAACCUCUUUCAGCAGGGAAGAAGCGAAAGUGACGGUACCUGCAGAAGAAGCGCCGGCUAACUACGUGCCAGCAGCCGCGGUAAUACGUAGGGCGCAAGCGUUGUCCGGAAUUAUUGGGCGUAAAGAGCUCGUAGGCGGCUUGUCACGUCGGGUGUGAAAGCCCGGGGCUUAACCCCGGGUCUGCAUUCGAUACGGGCUAGCUAGAGUGUGGUAGGGGAGAUCGGAAUUCCUGGUGUAGCGGUGAAAUGCGCAGAUAUCAGGAGGAACACCGGUGGCGAAGGCGGAUCUCUGGGCCAUUACUGAUGAGGGGAGCGA